rnacentral:rRNA from 1 species
AUUGAACGCUGGCGGCAUGCUUUACACAUGCAAGUCGAACGGCAGCGCGGGCUUCGGCCUGGCGGCCAGUGGCGAACGGGUGAGUAAUGCAUCGGAACGUGGCCAGCAGUUGGGGAUAGGCGGGUGAAAGCCGGAUUAAUACCCCAAAACACCUGAGGGUGUAAGCGGGGGACCGAAAGGCCUUGCGCCAUUGGAGCGGCCGAUGUCGGAUUAGCUAGUUGGUGGGGUAAAGGCGUACCAAGGCGACGAUCCGUAGCUGGUCUGAGAGGACGACCAGCCACACUGGGACUGAGACACGGCCCAGACUCCUACGGGAGGCAGCAGUGGGGAAUUUUGGACAAUGGGGGCAAGCCUGAUCCAGCCAUGCCGCGUGCGGGAAGAAGGCCUUCGGGUUGUAAACCGCUUUUGUUCGGGAAGAAAACCUCUGGGCUAAUACCCCGGGGGGAUGACGGUACCGGAAGAAUAAGCACCGGCUAACUACGUG